rnacentral:rRNA from 1 species
AACGCGAAGAACCUUACCAGGUCUUGACAUCCUCUUGAAUACAUUAGAGAUAGUGUAGGCUUUCGGGACAAGAGAGACAGGUGGUGCAUGGUUGUCGUCAGCUCGUGUCGUGAGAUGUUGGGUUAAGUCCCGCAACGAGCGCAACCCUUGAUCUUAGUUGCCAGCAUUAAGUUGGGCACUCUAGGAUGACUGCCGGUGACAAACCGGAGGAAGGUGGGGAUGACGUCAAAUCAUCAUGCCCCUUAUGACCUGGGCUACACACGUACUACAAUGGCCGGUACAACGGGAAGCGAGACCGCGAGGUGGAGCGAAUCCUAAAAAGCCGGUCUCAGUUCGGAUUGCAGGCUGCAACUCGCCUGCAUGAAGUCGGAAUUGCUAGUAAUCGCGGAUCAGCAUGCCGCGGUGAAUACGUUCCCGGGCCUUGUA